rnacentral:rRNA from 1 species
GACGAACGCUGGCGGCGUGCUUAACACAUGCAAGUCGAACGGAAAGGCCCUGCUUUUGUGGGGUGCUCGAGUGGCGAACGGGUGAGUAACACGUGAGUAACCUGCCCUUGACUUUGGGAUAACUUCAGGAAACUGGGGCUAAUACCGGAUAGGAGCUCCUGCUGCAUGGUGGGGGUUGGAAAGUUUCGGCGGUUGGGGAUGGACUCGCGGCUUAUCAGCUUGUUGGUGGGGUAGUGGCUUACCAAGGCUUUGACGGGUAGCCGGCCUGAGAGGGUGACCGGCCACAUGGGGACUGAGAGACGGCCCAGACUCGUACGGGAGGCAGCAGUGGGGAAUAUUGCACAAUGGGCGGAAGCCUGAUGCAGCAACGCCGCGUGCGGGAUGACGGCCUACGGGUUGUAAACCGCUUUAGCCUGUGACGAAGCGGGAGUGACGGUAAUGGGUAAAGAAGCACCGGCUAACUACGUG